rnacentral:rRNA from 1 species
UACGUAGGGGCCCGAGCGUUACCCGGAUUUACUGGGCCUAAAGCGCCCGUAGCCGGCCCGGUGUGUCCCUCGUUAAAUCCACGGGCUUAACCCGUGGGCUGCGGGGGAUACUACCGGGCUUGGGGGUGGGAGAGGCGCCCGGUAUUCCCGGGGUAGGGGUAAAAUCCUCUGAUCCCGGGAGGACCAUCAGUGGCGAAGGCGGGGCGCCAGAACACGCCCGACGGUGAGGGCGAAAGCUGGGGGAGCAAA